GACGAACGCUGGCGGCGUGCCUAAUACAUGCAAGUUGAGCGCUGAAGGUUGGUACUUGUACCAACUGGAUGAGCAGCGAACGGGUGAGUAACGCGUGGGGAAUCUGCCUUUGAGCGGGGGACAACAUUUGGAAACGAAUGCUAAUACCGCAUAAAAACUUUAAACACAAGUUUUAAGUUUGAAAGAUGCAAUUGCAUCACUCAAAGAUGAUCCCGCGUUGUAUUAGCUAGUUGGUGAGGUAAAGGCUCACCAAGGCGAUGAUACAUAGCCGACCUGAGAGGGUGAUCGGCCACAUUGGGAGUGAGACACGGCCCAAACUCCUACGGGAGGCAGCAGUAGGGAUUCUUCGGCAAUGGACGAAAGUCUGACCGAGCAACGCCGCGGGAGUGAAGAAGGUUUUCGGAUCGUAAAACUCUGUUGGUAGAGAAGAACGUUGGUGAGAGUGGAAAGCUCAUCAAGUGACGGUAACUACCCAGAAAGCGACGGCUAACUACGUG
rnacentral:rRNA from 1 species